rnacentral:misc_RNA from 1 species
GAUGAAGAACGCAGCGAAAUGCGAUAAGUAAUGUGAAUUGCAGAAUUCAGUGAAUCAUCGAAUCUUUGAACGCACAUUGCGCCCGCCAGUAUUCUGGCGGGCAUGCCUGUUCGAGCGUCAUUACAACCCUCAGGCCCCCGGGCCUGGCGUUGGGGAUCGGCGGAAGCCCCCUGCGGGCACAACGCCGUCCCCCAAAUACAGUGGCGGUCCCGCCGCAGCUUCCAUUGCGUAGUAGCUAACACCUCGCAACUGGAGAGCGGCGCGGACACGCCGUAAAACACCCAACUUCUGAAUGUUGACCUCGAAUCAGGUAGGAAUACCCGCUGAACUUAAGCAUAUCAAUAAGCGGAGGA